GGGGGUUCUCCAGGACCAGGAUUGGGAAGCACUGGUCUACAGUAAUCCUAAAAUACCUUGAUUAGCUGGUUCAGGUGUGUUUGAUUAGGGUUGGAGCUAAAUUCUGGGGGAUGGUAGCCCUCCAGGAACAGGGCUGACUACUUCUGCUCUAAAUUUAUUUCAUAUUUUGGAUUUUUCCAUCUCUAAAUGACAUGUAAAGCAAACUUCAGAACAUCACCACAGUGAGGGUCAGUAUCACAGACGUCAAUGACAAUGCUCCAGUCUUCAGCUCUGACACCUACAGCAGAAGCAUUCUGGUUAAAGACGCCAAGGUUGGAGAGGUGCUGCUGACGCUCUCUGCCACAGAUAAAGAUGCCGGAUCCAACGCAAUCAUUAGCUACAGUUUCUCUGAAGAGUCUUCCAUGGUUGCACUGGAUGCUGAAACAGGAGACAUCACUCUGACCUCUGACCUUAGCGAGGUCACAGAAGACAUGCUGCUAACCCUUACUGCUUCAGCGACAGAUCAUGGAACGCCAGCACAGUCUGAUGAAGCCGAAGUCUUGAUCCACUUCAAAAUUUCCUCUCUCACUGAGAGUGUGGCUUUUGAGAGCUCCUCCUACAACUUCAAAAUUAAGGAGAAUGAACCUGAGGCCACAAUAGUAGGCAAGGUCAAGGCAGUACCAGGGAGUCCACUGGUUACAGUCAGCUAUAACAUGAAGUCACACGAGGAUGUCUUCUCUGUGGAUGAGGAAGGAACCAUAAAAGCUCUCAGGCCACUGAACAAGGAGGAAGAGGAGUGGCACAUCCUCACCGUAGAGGCAAUAGACUCCAGAACACCUCCAAACACUGCAGAGACAACGGUCAGCGUUCAGGUUGAGAAUGUAAAUGAAGCUCCUGUGUUUGACACUGAAAUAUAUAAGGCAGAAAUGUUCAGUAUCACUCCAUACAAAUUCCCUAUAGUGAAGGUCCAGGCAUCAGACCCUGAUGUUGGCGAGAGCUCAGAUUUGCAGUAUUCACUACUGGAGUCCACAUCUCUGGUGGAAGUGGAGGCAAACACUGGUCAGAUCUAUGUGCUGGAUGCAUCUAGUGUUGGCGACGGUCUGUUCACUUUACACAUUAAAGCCACUGACAAACAUGGACUGUUCACGACUACAAAACUUGAGUUCACAGUGAAAGAAAGUGAAAGUGACAACGUCGUGGUCCUCUCUCUAAACCAGCCCGUGUUCACAGUGGAGAAGAAGAUACCAGAGAUUGAAGAGUCCAUGACGAAAGCUUUAGGUUUGACUGUGAAAAUCCUCAGUGCGAGAGCUGAGGAUGGGAUUGAGAUGCGCACCAUUCUCCGGGAAUCUGCAGUCAAGACUUAUAUCAGCUUCAUUGCCAUGGACUCCAGUGGUGCUGUCAUUGAAGCCACGGAGGUCAAAGAGAAACUGCGGAGUAAUCACAACGCUCUAAAAGUGGAGCUGGAGAAGGUGUUUGGUUCCGAUUUGGAAUUCAAAGUGGAGGAUGGUUCUGGAAACAAUUCUGAAGAUUCCAGUCAAGCAGCAGUCAUCGCUCUCGGUGUUCUGCUGGCUAUAAGCAUUGUGGGACUCAUCACUCUGACGACUGUCUAUCUCGUUAGGAAAAAGAAAAUGAAGUACACGGAUUUGGACAAAGAGAGCUUCAAUAUUGGCAGAACCAAGACCAGAUCAAGUAUUGACAGUAGUUUUCAAUUUUCCAGCAAAAAAGAAGAAGCCAAAGAGGUUGAGUUCAGUAACAGACGCGAGUUUGAAAGAGAUUCCGAAAAUGAUGCAGAUUUGAAAACUGGAAGCAGCAUCUCUGCCCUAUGAAAACUGAUGGAUUAUAAGACUUCAUGAGUUUUAAAAUGAAUUGACACACUGUUAAAUCUCUGUUCCAAAACUUAGUGAGUUGCAUUUUAAGGCAAUUCCAAAAGAUACAAGCUAAUCCCAUAAUGCAUUGUGACAAGACAGAGUGAAAUGUUGACUAUAAAUAUAUUUCUUUCAGUUAAUAAUGAAAAAUUUUAAAUUUUACUCAACAUUUUAUGUUUGCUGCCUAUGUAGCGUGUGCAAUAUCAGUCACUUCUAGGUUUCAUUUCAGUUAAGAUGCUUAAACUUACCCAUUUUUGGAAAAGAGCAAAAAUCUUUUUUGUAUCCGUGUUUUUAAUAUGUACAUUCAACUGCCUUGCAUUUUGAUAAUUAAUUUUCAAUGUGGUCUUUUACAAUGGGACUUGGACAUCCCAAAACCUGCUCACAAAUAACAGUAGUCUUUUGCACUUUAACUGGCCCAGCUAUGAUUGUGUAUCAAAACGCUUUUAAUUUGUAUCUUUGAUGUAAAUACCUUUUUAGAAUGAUUUAACUUUUAAAAAAAUGUUUCUUAACCGAAGUGUGUGUAUUUAUCACAGGUCAAUCCACAAAUGAGACUUUUGAGUUUUAAUCCCGCACACUUCCAUCCAGUUUGUGCUUUGGGCUGUGCUCAGAAAAGCAUACUAGCAUACUUUUUUUAAAGAUUAAUCCAACCUGAACGCCAAAUGUUGAGGCAUUUACGCAAAAAAUUUUAUUAAAAAAAAAUAUUAAAACCAGUAAUAAUUUCUGAAAUGAAAAUUAAAAUUAAAUACAAUUUGCUUCUGGUAAACAAUGCAACAUACUACCAUUUGAAAUGUUUUAUUGUUGCAUUUACAGCAAAAAAAAAAAAAAAAAGGUAGGAAGUAUGCAGUGUACACUAUAGUAUGCUGUACACUAGUAUUCUAUUCCAAACACAGCCAUCAGCCACUAGUUACACUCAGCAGAAAGAAAAAUAAUUAAUAAAAAUCACCUCACAACCUGCUUUUUGGACUUGAUUCAUAAUUAAAUCAUAUUAAAAUUUUAUUAAGUUAUAGCCUAUAUUAAAAUAAAUCAAAACAGAAAGACAGAGAGAAAUCAAAUACAGAGAACGCAAGAAUGACAUCCAAUAGAUUAUGGAAUGUAUUUCGGUAAAUAAAAUAGAGCUCCAACUGUUCCAUCAAAUGUGCAAUAUUCCAGCCACAAAUGUUCUGAGCCUGAAAAAAGCACCGUAAGUUUCUAUAUACACAACGUAGGUAUAUAUAUAUACACACACAGUAGAUUUAUAUAUACAGUAUACGGCGCUUGAAUGGAUAUAUACUGUAUACAUACAUCUUACAGAAAUAUAUAUAUA
ensembl:lncRNA